UACGUAGGGGGCAAGCGUUGUCCGGAAUCAUUGGGCGUAAAGGGCGCGUAGGCGGGCUGCCGCGUCCGGGGUGAAAGCCUCCCGCUCAACGGGAGAACGGCCUCGGAUACGGGCGGCCUCGAGGGGGGUAGGGGCGUGCGGAACUGUGGGUGGAGCGGUGAAAUGCGUUGAUAUCCACAGGAACUCCGGUGGCGAAGGCGGCACGCUGGACCCCAUCUGACGCUGAGGCGCGAAAGCCAGGGGAGCGAACGGG
rnacentral:rRNA from 1 species